rnacentral:rRNA from 1 species
CGGCACGGGUGAGUAACACGUAUGGAACCUGCCCUAUGCAGGGGGAUAAGCGGAAGAAAUUCCGUCUAAUACCGCAUAACACCAUUUGGAGACAUCUCCAGGUGGUCAAAGGAGGCGACUCCGGCAUAGGAUGGCCAUGCGUCGCAUUAGCUAGUCGGCGGGAUAACGGCCCACCGAGGCGACGAUGCGUAGGGGUUCUGAGAGGAAGGUCCCCCACACUGGUACUGAGACACGGACCAGACUCCUACGGGAGGCAGCAG